GUGCUCACUUUGGUAACACAUACGGUAAAAUUGGAAAAAUAUAAACAAGAUUAGCAUGGACCCUGCACAAAGAUGACUGCAAAUUAGAGGAGCAUUCCAUAUUCUA